rnacentral:rRNA from 1 species
UACGUAGGGGGCAAGCGUUGUCCGGAUUUACUGGGUGUAAAGGGCGCGCAGGCGGAAUGGAAAGUCAGUGGUGAAAUCCUACAGCUUAACUGUAGAACUGCCUUUGAUACUUUCAUUCUUGAGUUCGGGAGAGAGAGACGGAAUUCCAGGUGUAGUGGUGAAAUACGUAGAUAUCUGGAAGAACACCAGUUGCGAAGGCGGUCUCUUGGUCCGAUACUGACGCUGAGGCGCGAAAGCGUGGGGAGCAAAC